rnacentral:rRNA from 1 species
GACGAACGCUGGCGGCGUGCUUAACACAUGCAAGUCGAACGGAAAGGCCCUGCUUUCGUGGGGUGCGAGAGUGGCGAAGGGGAGAAACACGUGUGAGAUCUGCGCCUUUGUUUGUGGGAAAACUUGAGGACUGUGGGGAAUAUACGGGAUGGGAGUGCUGGAGGCAUGGUGGGGGUUGGAAAAGUUUCGGGGUGGGGGGAGGGCGCGGGGCCUAUCCGUGUGUUGGUGGGGUAAUGGUCUAACCAGGCGUCGACGGGUAGCCGGUCAGAGAGGGUGGACCGCCACAUUGGGAAUGAGAUACGGCCCAGACUCCCACGGGAGGCAGCCGUGGGGAAUAUUGGCCCAUGGGCGCAAGCCUGAUGCAGCGACGCCGCGUGGGGGAUGACGGCCUUCGGGUUGUAAAAUCCCUUCCGCCAUGACGAAGCCCUUGUUGUGACGGUAGUGGUAGAAGAAGCACCGGAUAAAUACG